AGAUUUGAUGAUAACUUGUUGACACCCAGUCUUACGUGCUCCUAUGGCGCACCCUGGUGAAAUAUUACUUGUCUGAUCU
rfam:Vigna angularis cultivar Jingnong 6 chromosome 1, whole genome shotgun sequence.